UACAGAGGGUGCAAGCGUUGUUCGGAAUUAUUGGGCGUAAAGGGAGUGUAGGCGGUUUGUUAAGUCUUCUGUGAAAUCUACGGGCUUAGCCUGUAACGUGCAGAGGAAACUGACAGGCUUGAGUGUCGGAGAGGAUAGGGGAAUUCCCGGUGUAGAGGUGAAAUUCGUAGAGAUCGGGAGGAACACCAGUGGCGAAGGCGCCUGUCUGGCUGACAACUGACGCUGAGACUCGAAAGCAUGGGGAGCAAACAGG
rnacentral:rRNA from 1 species